AAACCAAAAACCUCGGGGGAAAACACCCGGCACCUUUCGCAUCCUUCCAACCCCGGCGCGGCCGCUACCGCGGAAUGUGCGCGGAGGCGGAGGACCGCGCCCGCGGAGGGCAGCGCCGCCGGCCGGUAUCUGCCCGCCCCGGGAGCCGCAGGCAGGAUUUGCGAUUCUUCUAAGAGGGGUUUGGCUACUGAAAGGCUCAGGCCAGGAGAAUGGAAAAUGCCUUCAGCUUCCAAGAUUGUUGUUUUAUGGAUAAUGGGAUGUGAGCCUUUCCGGCACUACCUCAUCCGCCGUACAAAGAACUGGAUCCUGUCUCCUCAUCUGCCUGCUCUUCUGGUGUGCAGUGACCAUGUCCAAACACUGCUUCACCAUUGUCACCUACCAGUCAAUGCACAGAGGAUCCCUUAUCACACACAGGCCAGAUUUCAAUGGGAAGAGAUUGCUGUGAGGACCUGAAAAUUAUUGAUGUAGGCUAAGGUCAUCCUAAUCUUUCCAGUAAAUCUACAUCCAUAGGACUUCAAAAGAAGGAUUUAAUAAAACAACUCCACAGCCUGAUGGAAGACCAUCUCCACUUCAGUUGCUCCCAGAUGGCUGGAAAGACAGCGUAGACCUGAGCAGCCCUGAGUUGCGCCUGUGCCCUGGUGGGUUUGGAGGAACCUCAACAAGACACAGUACGCCAAGACGUGGCCAAAGGAGCAAUUGUGUUGGGGUGGUUUGCAACCGUUGAGGUCUCCCUUGUGAAGACGGGCAAAUCCAGCCUGUAAGGUACCGAUACCCAGGGCACUGGCUAUCCGUCACGGGUACAAAACUGGCCCCCAAGGCUGCACAGCUUUGCAGCAGACGGCUCCACUGUGGCUCUGCCUCACCAAGUCCUGGACACCUCGAAGGAUGGCAAUUUCACUGCUCCACUGAGUGCUGCAUGCUGCACUAUGCUCUUGCUAGGAAAAUUUUUCCUACUGUCCAAGGAAAUAAAUCUUUACACAUUCUCCAGACAUAAACUAAUGAUUCAGAGUGAUCAGAAUAAAAUUACUUAACUAAUGUGUUAUCUGAAGUUGGAAGAGGCACGUUUCAGUUGCAGUAUGACAAACCAGACAAAGGCAGAGGGGAUAUUAUUAGCUAGGCACUGUCUCACAGGAUUAGAGGUAUGAGAUAUAAUACAUAUAAGGACCCAAGGGUGAGAUUAUCUCAGGAUAAUACACCCUUUAGGUUUUUAAAUUGCAGCCAAAGCAAUCAAACCUGUUACCAUAGCAUUCAUUUUAAUGCACAGAUAAAUUUGUAGCUCUUGUUUAUAUAGCUCAUCCUCUGGAGGCACUAAUAUGAUUCCCUUUAAAACUCCAGUUAAUGAGAAAAUAAUAGAGCAUUGUAGAUAUAAGCAAAUUUUUUUUUCCACUGUCACUGUCAUCAUCUUUUAUACAGCCAGACGGCUCUUUGAAAGAAUAAGUUGGAUUUAUUUUAUGUACCACAAAACCUUUAAAAACCUUUCUUUACUCCAAGCUUUCCGAUUCCAGCCUAAAGCCAAAAAUACUUGCUGUCUAAAUAUUUUUAUAAAUCAGUAUAUCAUCCAUAAAUCUUACCUUAUCCCUAAUAGGAAAUUUAAAAUUGUAACUCUUAAAACUUCACCUUGGCAACAUACAUUCUUAUUUUAUUGGCUUUCCUGGACAGAAAUCACUGAUGAGAUACUGUACGUGGCCAGGGAAUAGGGAUUGCAUAUCAGUUGCUGAGUGUAGUGAGCUGUGUAAUGAAGCCAUGUUUGUUUACUUUCCUUUGUAUACAGCACUGCAGUAAAUCUCCAGUCGUUUUCAA